CAAACCGGUGAUUAACCGGUGAACCGACAGAACUGUCCGGUUUUUUAGAAGGUUUUCGGUUCGAAAAUAAACCCUCCUAAACGCGGCGUUUUGUCCCUUAAAUUAAAAAAAAAAAAAAAAAAACGCAAAACGGCAAAACUGAAGUAGUGAACCCUAAAUCAAACGCAGCCCCCAUUUGAUCUUCUUCUUCCCAGAGCCACAAACUCAUCUCCUCUCCUCUCUUCUCUGAGAACCAUAGAAGCCACCGCAGCCCCCAAUCGCGCAGCCACCGCAUCGUUGUCAUCACUGAGCUCGCCUUCUCUCUGUUCGCCGGUGUUGGGUCCUCUGUCGUCGCCAUUGCUCGCCUUCCACCUCGCCGCCGGGAACAAACUGACUGGCAAUAUUCCUCAAACUUAUGUGAAAGGAAAUGCCCUUCACUUGAUUGAUUUUAGUUCUAACAAGUUGUAUGGUCAAUUACCAAGAGCACUUGUCAAUUGCAGAAUGCUAGAGUUUCUUGAUGUGAGACAUAACCAUUUCAAUGACUCAUUUCCUUUCUGGUUAGGAUCUCUUCCUAAGUUGUAUGGUUCUUUCUUUAUUGAUUUGUCUUCAUUUUCAUUGUCCAACAAAGGAGUUGUCAUGGAUUAUCUUGGGGGUCAAUACCUUUGCGGCCAUGAAGUACCUGCUUGGAAGUUGAAACAAUGUUGGCAUGGACUAAAAUAUUUGUGGUUUGUCCUUGUCCAAUUAGUAUGGAACUUAUGGUGAAUGGUUUUGUUAAAUUUUGAUGGAUGAUAGUUUAGGUGUUUUGUUAAAUUUUUUGAAUUAAUUUUAUUGAUGAUU